AUGUGGCGAUCUGUGAGAGGAUUAUGGAGGCGGAGUAACCACAUAAAAAGAGAAGUGCAGAGACCAUGAAAAAGGGUUGUUGAUUCUUUUUGGUCGUUCGUUCUUCCGGCUAUUCUUCCGGGUUGGCUUGCCCCAGUGUGUGGUUCUUCUCUUUGGAUGUGUUCCCCUAGGAGAGGUGAAUUCCUGGGACGUUUGGGCUGGCGUGUGGAGGUAUUGAGGACUAUUGUGGGGUUUCGGCUAUCUGCUGUGCAACAGAUAUAUCAGCGAUCGAGUGGAGAUAUUCAGGACAGAAAGAGUGUGAGUUCUGGAAAGCAAGUGAAGACCAGACCGCGCCAUCGCUAUCGGAGGGAAGUUAAGAGACCUGAUCUGGGACUUCGAUCAAUUGUAUACAUCUGGACUGGGAGUGAUAACGUUGUGAAGUGGACGGAGUCAUCGUUGGAUCGCAGGAUCCUUUGGGCCGAACGCCGCAUGUGAUGUCCCUAUGAAAAGAGGUGGACACACGAAUUAUUCCUUUCCCGGUCUUAACCGAAGCAUCUCCCAGCCGUAAGCCCCACUACUUAUUCAAGAAACACAUACUUGUUGUGAUUACUUACUCUGCUGUGCAGAUCGCAGGGAUCCUCUGGGCCGAAUGCCGCAUGUGAUGUCCCUAUGAAAAGAGGUGGACACAAGAAUUAUUCCUUUCCCGGUCACAACCGAAGCCUCUCCCAGCCGUAAGCCCCGCUACUUAUUCAAGAACGCAUACUUGCUGUUGAUUACCUACUCUGCUGUGCAGAUCGCAGGAUCCUCUGGGCCGAAUGCUGCAUGUGAUGUCCCUGUAGAAAGAGGUGGACACACGAAUUAUUCCUUUCCCGGUCUUAACCGAAGCAUCUCCCAGCCGUAAGCCCCACUACUUAUUCAAGAACGCAUACUUGCUGUUGAUUCCUACUCUGCUGUGCAGAUCGCAGGAUCUCUGGGCCGAAUGCUGCAUGUGAUGUCCCUGUAAAAGAGGUGGACACGAGAAUUAUUCCUUUUCCCGGUCUCGACCG
rnacentral:lncRNA from 1 species